GACGAACGCUGGCGGCGUGCUUAACACAUGCAAGUCGAACGGAAAGGCCCUGCUUUUGUGGGGUGCUCGAGUGGCGAACGGGUGAGUAACACGUGAGUAACCUGCCCUUGACUUUGGGAUAACUUCAGGAAGCUGGGGCUAAUACCGGAUAGGGGCUCCUGCUGCAUGGUGGGGGUUGGAAAGUUUCGGCGGUUGGGGAUGGACUCGCGGCUUAUCAGCUUGUUGGUGGGGUAGUGGCUUACCAAGGCUUUGACGGGUAGCCGGCCUGAGAGGGUGACCGGCCACAUUGGGACUGAGAUACGGCCCAGACUCCUACGGGAGGCAGCAGUGGGGAAUAUUGCACAAUGGGCGGAAGCCUGAUGCAGCAACGCCGCGUGCGGGAUGACGGCCUUCGGGUUGUAAACCGCUUUCGCCUGUGACGAAGCGUGAGUGACGGUAAUGGGUAAAGAAGCACCGGCUAACUACGUG
rnacentral:rRNA from 1 species